GAUGAAGAACGUAGCGAAACGCGAAAGGUAAUGCGAAUUGCAGAAUCAGUGAGUCAUCGAAUCUUUGAACGCACAUUGCACCUCUCGGUAUUCCGGGAGGUAUGCCUGUUCGAGCGUCAUUUGUACCCUCAAGCUCUGCUUGGUGUUGGGUGUUUGUUCCGCCUCUGUGUGUGAACUCGCCUCAAAACAAUUGGCAGCCGGCGUACUUGUUUCGGAGCGCAGCACAUUUUGCGAUCCAGAUCAACGUACAGCGGCAUCCAAGAAGCCUUAUUUAACGCUCUUGACCUCGGAUCAGGUAGGGAUACCCGCUGAACUUAAGCAUAUCAAUAAGCGAGGA
rnacentral:misc_RNA from 1 species